rnacentral:rRNA from 1 species
AUUGAACGCUGGCGGCAUGCCUUGCACAUGCAAGUCGAACGGCAGCGGACCUUCGGGUGCCGGCGAGUGGCGAACGGGUGAGUAAUAUAUCGGAACGUACCUUUCAGUGGGGGAUAACGUAGCGAAAGUUACGCUAAUACCGCAUAUUCUGUGAGCAGGAAAGCAGGGGAUCGCAAGACCUUGCGCUGAUUGAGCGGCCGAUAUCAGAUUAGCUAGUUGGUGAGGUAAAGGCUCACCAAGGCGACGAUCUGUAGCGGGUCUGAGAGGAUGAUCCGCCACACUGGAACUGAGACACGGUCCAGACUCCUACGGGAGGCAGCAGUGGGGAAUUUUGGACAAUGGGCGCAAGCCUGAUCCAGCCAUGCCGCGUGAGUGAAGAAGGCCU